AGUGAACGCUGGCGGUAGGCCUAACACAUGCAAGUCGAACGGCAGCACAGUAAGAGCUUGCUCUUACGGGUGGCGAGUGGCGGACGGGUGAGGAAUACAUCGGAAUCUACUUUUUCGUGGGGGAUAACGUAGGGAAACUUACGCUAAUACCGCAUACGACCUACGGGUGAAAGCAGGGGAUCUUCGGACCUUGCGCGAUUGAAUGAGCCGAUGUCGGAUUAGCUAGUUGGCGGGGUAAAGGCCCACCAAGGCGACGAUCCGUAGCUGGUCUGAGAGGAUGAUCAGCCACACUGGAACUGAGACACUGUCCAGACUCCUACGGGAGGCAGCAGUGGGGAAUAUUGGACAAUGGGCGCAAGCCUGAUCCAGCCAUACCGCGUGGGUGAAGAAGGCCUUCGGGUUGUAAAGCCCUUUUGUUGGGAAAGAAAAGCAGCAGGUUAAUACCCCGCUGUUCUGACGGUACCCAAAGAAUAAGCACCGGCGAACUUCGU
rnacentral:rRNA from 1 species